CCUAGGCCUUAAACUUCGGGCCUGUGCACUGUCCCUAAGCUCCUUUUUUCUCAAGGUUAGCACUCUACCAUUUGAGCCAUAGCACCACUUCUGGCCUUUACUGGUGGUUAAUUGGAGAUAAGAGUCUCACGGCCUUUCUUGCUUGGGCUGGCUUCAAACUGGGAUUCUCAGAUCUCAGCCUCCUGAGUAGCUAGGAUUACAGGCAUGAGCUCCCGACACCUGGCCUGGCAAUAAACUUACUAAAAUAAAAUAAGAACAAGGUUAUACUGAAGUAGAAAGCAAUAAAUGAGUG